GAUGAACGCUGGCGGCGUGCCUAAUACAUGCCAGUCGAGCGAACGGACGAGAAGCUUGCUUCUCUGAUGUUAGCGGCGGACGGGUGAGUAACACGUGGAUAACCUACCUAUAAGACUGGGAUAACUUCGGGAAACCGGAGCUAAUACCGGAUGAUAUUUUGAACCGCAUGGUUCAAAAGUGAAAGACGGUCUUGCUGUCACUUAUAGAUGGAUCCGCGCUGCAUUAGCUAGUUGGUAAGGUAAUGGCUUACCAAGGCAACGAUGCAUAGCCGACCUGAGAGGGUGAUCGGCCACACUGGAACUGAGACACGGUCCAGACUCCUACGGGAGGCAGCAGUAGGGAAUCUUCCGCAAUGGGCGAAAGCCUGACGGAGCAACGCCGCGUGAGUGAUGAAGGUCUUCGGAUCGUAAAACUCUGUUAUUAGGGAAGAACAUAUGUGUAAGUAACUGUGCACAUCUUGACGGUACCCAAUCAGAAAGCCACGGCUAACUACGUG
rnacentral:rRNA from 1 species